UACGUAGGGUGCAAGCGUUGUCCGGAAUUAUUGGGCGUAAAGAGCUCGUAGGCGGUCUGUCGCGUCUGCUGUGAAAAUCAGGGCUCAACCCUGGACCUGCAGUGGGUACGGGCAGACUAGAGUGCGGUAGGGGAGAUCGGAAUUCCUGGUGUAGCGGUGAAAUGCGCAGAUAUCAGGAGGAACACCGGUGGCGAAGGCGGAUCUCUGGGCCGUAACUGACGCUGAGGAGCGAAAGCGUGGGGAGCGAACAGGA
rnacentral:rRNA from 1 species